rnacentral:lncRNA from 1 species
CUAGCUCAGCCAUUCAUUGGCUAGGUAUUCAGAAGCUGGGCAGAAGGCCUUUGCCAUUCAACUGUAUUAGAGCAGAAUUUUGGAGUGACUGUGGAAGCAACCAGUCACAUUUUGACUUGCAAUGGGUGGGACCGUUUAAAAAAGAAACUGGCGUGUCUAGGCCUUCUACUGAAUGCGCAAGAGAAAAAAAUGAGUGGCGCAAGCAAUAUUUUUCCCACGCUAAAGCUAGUAACGCUAGCUAGCUUUUGUUGUAGUAGUGUGACAAUGUAAGCUAGCUUGUGUUGUAGUAAUGUGACAAUGGGGACAGUGGCUGCUGCAGCUGUUAUGAACUUCAAGGUGGAUGUUGUUGGUCAUUUUUUUGUAAUACCCUUCUCAAGAUUAACUUUCAAACUUCUUUCAAACUUCGUUUGCAAAUUAUUCUCAUCUGGUGAGUGAGCGGUCAGUUAUGUACAACGGCAAACCAAUCUGUUGGUAAAGCGACGCAAAGCCAACAAGCCAUGGCUUCCCUCAGAGGAAAAGACAAGGAGCAACUUGGAGAUGCAAAUGAGAGUAAUGAACAGCUAAAGGAUAUCGAAUGCUAAAAUGCUUUCAAUGCUAACAAAAAAAAAAAUAACUGUUACAAUCUGUUGUUAAUAAAGUAGUCUAUCGUGUCAGACAUGCACAUACAAUGCGUGCGCAAGAACGAACGAGACAACAAAAUUAGCCUUCUGGAAACAAAGUGGCAAACUUUAGAAGAUGAACUGAACCAGCAAGAAAACAGAGUGAGACAAAACAACAUGAGAAUAUUGUCCUUACUGGAAAAUGAGUAAAAAGGAGACCUUUCCAGCUACAUAUCAGAGGAGCUUGGCGUGGAUAUGUUACCAGAAGAUCUGGAACGAUGCCAUUGGAUCGGCGUGAAACAGAAGAAUGCUAAAUACCCUUGCAUGGUAAUCUUCUAGCUGUGGCACUAUCAGACCAAAGUCAACAUUCUGAAGGCACAGAGGGGAAAGGAGAUCAAAAUCCACAGCCAGUGCAUUCGAUUCGUCCAGGACCUGUCUGCUUAGCUGAGAAAAAAGUACAAGCAAUACAUUCCGAUCAAACAGUAACUGGAGGAAAAAGGAAUCAAGUCUCAAUUACGCAUCCUGGACAUUCUCAAGUGCCGAUGAAGCCUUACAUAGGCUGCAAUAAAUAUUUUCAGUUGAAGGAGAGCCCAUUGCCCUGAGGAGAGGACGAAGCAGGGGGAAAGUAAGCACACUAGGUUACAUACAGUGAUGCCCAAGACCAGCUUAUUGUAAAUUGAGACAAUCCUCUUUCCGCCUCCCCCCAAUACAAUCUAAAGUCUGCUGUCCCCAAGCAACUGUUCUUCUCUAUGAGGUAAUGAUAGAAGUAGCCAAUGCCAUUGAGAUACAUGGACACUGAAAAGUCUAUACUAGAGAGGAAAUAUAGCACGUAUGUCAAUAAUUGUUCUAUGGAUGUGUGUGUGGGCAUGAGGGUGAAUAUGGGGGCAUGAUAUGUGUGUGGGCAUGAUAUGUGUAGUAGGGUGGGAGAGAAUGGAUAUGUGUGUGGGCAUGAUAUGUGUAGUAGGGUGGGAGAGAAUGGGUGGGUGGAUGCAUAGGUUGUAUGUUGUAUUUGGAUGAAGGAGAAUGGAUGAGUAAGUCGAUAUACGGAUGGGUGUAAAUGUGUCUGAGAAGGAAGGGUGGCAAAAGACUUGGGAUAAACUUUGCCUGGGCGGGUAAGGCCCGGUAGGCCAAGGAUGGGAGGUUUGGACAAGCUUGGCAUGGGUGGAGUUUGGUUUGGGAGAGAGAGAAAUAUCUCUAGCGGUUGCCCCAGCAUGAGUUUUUUAUGCAUGCGAUGUCAGAAUGAGCUCACUGUUCCAAAAUGUUAUUGUUACGUAACAGGACAGUUCAUCCGCGCUGCCCUCAAACCAAGACACGCUGCCUCCUUUUAUCUACAGGCUGUUUCAACUUGUCAAUUUCAAAUUAUAUAAAUAAUCUCUCCACAAUGAAUUUCAAUAGAAAACUAUUGGUUGCAGGACAAGAUCCUGCAACCAAGGAGAGGUAAAUACCUGUCUAUUUAUGGAAAAAUUGCCCUGAUUAACUCCUUAGUCAUAUCUCAGUUAUUCACUUACUUAUUGUGCUGCCAACUCCUGAUGAUUUGUUUUCAAAUCAUAUGAGCAAAAAAUAUUUCGUUUUAUCUGGGACGCUAAACCAGACAAAAUUAAAACGUGCCUAUCUAUAUAAUGAAUAUGAAUUGGGUGGGUUGAUAUUUUUAAAUAUAAAGGCACUAAACCUCUCUCUAAAAGCUUCACUCAUUCAAAAGUUGUAUAUGAACCCUAAAUGGUUCUCAAGUAGAUUACUAAGAAAAGCUCAUCCAUUUUUUGUGCAGAUUGCCGUGUCUCAUUUUCGAUUAAUUGAAAAUGAUACUUUUUUCAAAGUAUCUCUCUUUUUCAAACAAGCAUUGCAGACCUGGCUACAAUUUCAAUUUCAUCCUCCUGAAAAGAUAGAACAAAUAUUACAACAAAUAUUAUGGCUGAAAUCAAAUGCGCUGGUUGAUAAAAUACCUGUAUUUAUGGGAAAGAUGUUUGAAAAGAGUAUUUGUUCUUAAAUUAUAUUGUACAUUGGAAUAGUAGAGUUAUGUCCUUCAUGGAGUUGUCAGAAUUGUACGAGAAGGUCUGCUCAACCAAGAGUACAACCAAUUGAUUACAGCAUUACCCCAAAAAUGGAGGAGGCAGGUGGCAGCCGGAGGAGGUAGAGAACUGGUCUGUCUGCCCAAUAUAAAGGAUCAAAACUGUCAGAGGAAUAAAAAUAGCAUACAUAGGAAAGUACACCAGUUUCAUUUGAGGACCAGGAUGUUGACAAUUGUGCCAUACAGAUUGCAAAAUAGUUGGGAAGAGAUUUUUGAUGUACCGAUUCCAUGGUACAGGGUGUAUGAGUUGAUAUAUAAAACAACUCAAGAUUCAAGACUUCGUACUUUUCAGCUAAAAUGAUUAUAUAGAAUUCUUGCCACCAACAAAAUGUUAAAUAUUUGGGGCAUAAAAUCAUUGAAGCUUUUCAGAUUUUGUUGUGAGGAUACAGAAUCAAUAGACCAUUUAUUUUGGUAUUUACAUUUACAUUUUAGUCAUUUAGCAGACGCUCUUAUCCAGAGCGACUUACAGUAGUGAAUGCAUACAUUUCAUUAAAAGAAUUCCCCCGUACUGGUCCCCCGUGGGAAUCAAACCCACAACCCUGGCAUUGCAAACACCAUGCUCUACCAACUGAGCCACACGGGACUCUUCAAUAUUCCCAUUUAAGAAGUUUUAGGUUGUAGUUAUUAUAGGAAUUAUAGGACUAUUUCUAUCUAUACCAUUUGUAUUUCAUAUACCUUUGACUAUUGGAUGUUCCUAUAGGCACUAUAUUGCCCUCAGGUAGGCUGUUUCUGGUCUCAGGUUCAGGAAUGGCUGAAAAUGCAUAGCAUUGAUCUAAAAUUGACCCUAGAAAUAGUACUGUUAGGAGAUCUGGAGAGACCGUGU